rnacentral:rRNA from 1 species
UACGUAGGGGGCUAGCGUUGUCCGGAAUCAUUGGGCGUAAAGCGCGUGUAGGCGGUCCGGUAAGUCCGCUGUGAAAGUCGGGGGCUCAACCCUCGAAUGCCGGUGGAUACUGUCGGGCUAGAGUGCGGAAGAGGCGAGUGGAAUUCCUGGUGUAGCGGUGGAAUGCGCAGAUAUCAGGAGGAACACCGAUGGCGAAGGCAGCUCGCUGGGACGGUACUGACGCUGAGGCGACGAAAGCGUGGGGAGGCGAACAGG